ACUCCUACGGGAGGCAGCAGUCGGGAAUAUUGGACAAUGGGCGCAAGCCUGAUCCAGCAAUACCGCGUGUGUGAAGAAGGCCUGCGGGUUGUAAAGCACUUUCAGUUGGGAAGAUAAUGACGUUACCAACAGAAGAAGCACCGGCUAACUCCGUGCCAGCAGCCGCGGUAAU
rnacentral:rRNA from 1 species